rnacentral:rRNA from 1 species
UACGUAGGGUGCAAGCGUUAAUCGGAAUUACUGGGCGUAAAGCGUGCGCAGGCGGUGAUGUAAGACAGGGGUGAAAUCCCCGGGCUUAACCUGGGAACUGCAUUUGUGACUGCAUCGCUGGAGUGCGGCAGAGGGGGAUGGAAUUCCGCGUGUAGCAGUGAAAUGCGUAGAUAUGCGGAGGAACACCGAUGGCGAAGGCAAUCCCCUGGGCCUGCACUGACGCUCAUGCACGAAAGCGUGGGGAGCAAACAGG